GACGAACGCUGGCGGCGUGCCUAAUACAUGCAAGUCGAACGAGAGCGACCGGUGCUUGCACUGGUCAAUCUAGUGGCGAACGGGUGAGUAACACGUGGGUAACCUGCCCAUCAGAGGGGGAUAACAUCCGGAAACGGAUGCUAAAACCGCAUAGGUCUUCGAACCGCAUGGUUUGAAGAGGAAAAGAGGCGCAAGCUUCUGCUGAUGGAUGGACCCGCGGUGCAUUAGCUAGUUGGUGAGGUAACGGCUCACCAAGGCCGUGAUGCAUAGCCGACCUGAGAGGGUGAUCGGCCACAUUGGGACUGAGACACGGCCCAAACUCCUACGGUAGGCAGCAGUAGGGAAUCUUCCGCAAUGGACGCAAGUCUGACAGAGCAACGCCGCGUGAGUGAAGAAGGUUUUCGGAUCGUAAAACUCUGUUGUUAGAGAAGAACAAGUGCUAGAGUAACUGUUAGCGCCUUGACGGUAUCUAACCAGAAAGCCACGGCUAACUACGUG
rnacentral:rRNA from 1 species